rnacentral:rRNA from 1 species
UACGUAGGGUGCGAGCGUUGUCCGGAAUUAUUGGGCGUAAAGAGCUCGUAGGCGGUUUGUCGCGUCGACUGUGAAAACCUGGGGCUUAACUCUGGGCCUGCAGUUGAUACGGGCAGACUUGAGUUCGGUAGGGGAGACUGGAAUUCCUGGUGUAGCGGUGAAAUGCGCAGAUAUCAGGAGGAACACCGGUGGCGAAGGCGGUUCUCUGGGAAUGGCCUGACGCUGAGGAGCGAAAGUGUGGGGAGCGAACAGG